rnacentral:rRNA from 1 species
AGAGUUUGAUCCUGGCUCAGGACGAACGCUGGCGGCGUGCUUAACACAUGCAAGUCGAACGGGGUGUUUAUUUCGGUAAACACCAAGUGGCGAACGGGUGAGUAACGCGUGAGGAACCUGCCUCAAAGAGGGGGACAACAGUUGGAAACGACUGCUAAUACCGCAUAAGCCCACGGCUCGGCAUCGAGCAGAGGGAAAAGGAGCAAUCCGCUUUGAGAUGGCCUCGCGUCCGAUUAGCUAGUUGGUGAGGUAAUGGCCCACCAAGGCGACGAUCGGUAGCCGGACUGAGAGGUUGAACGGCCACAUUGGGACUGAGACACGGCCCAGACUCCUACGGGAGGCAGCAGUGGGGAAUAUUGCACAAUGGGGGAAACCCUGAUGCAGCGACGCCGCGUGGAGGAAGAAGGUCUUCGGAUUGUAAACUCCUGUUGUUGAGGAAGAUAAUGACGGUACUCAACAAGGAAGUGACGGCUAACUACGUGCCAGCAGCCGCGGUAAAACGUAGGUCACAAGCGUUGUCCGGAAUUACUGGGUGUAAAGGGAGCGCAGGCGGGAAGACAAGUUGGAAGUGAAAUCCAUGGGCUCAACCCAUGAACUGCUUUCAAAACUGUUUUUCUUGAGUAGUGCAGAGGUAGGCGGAAUUCCCGGUGUAGCGGUGGAAUGCGUAGAUAUCGGGAGGAACACCAGUGGCGAAGGCGGCCUACUGGGCACCAACUGACGCUGAGGCUCGAAAGUGUGGGUAGCAAACAGGAUUAGAUACCCUGGUAGUCCACACUGUAAACGAUGAUUACUAGGUGUUGGAGGAUUGACCCCUUCAGUGCCGCAGUUAACACAAUAAGUAAUCCACCUGGGGAGUACGACCGCAAGGUUGAAACUCAAAGGAAUUGACGG